rnacentral:rRNA from 1 species
AGAGUUUGAUCAUGGCUCAGAUUGAACGCUGGCGGCAGGCCUAACACAUGCAAGUCGAGCGGAAACGAGAAUAGCUUGCUAUUCGGCGUCGAGCGGCGGACGGGUGAGUAAUGCCUGGGAAAUUGCCCUGAUGUGGAGGAUAACCAUUGGAAACGAUGGCUAAUACCGCAUAAUAGCUUCGGCUUAAAGAGGGGGACCUUCGGNCCUCUCGCUUCAGGAUAUGCCCAGGUGGGAUUAGCUAGUUGGUGAGGUAAAGGCUCACCAAGGCGACGAUCCCUAGCUGGUCUGAGAGGAUGAUCAGCCACACUGGAACUGAGACACGGUCCAGACUCCUACGNNAGNCANCAGUGGGGAAUAUUGCACAAUGGGCGCAANCCUGAUGCAGCCAUGCCGCGUGUAUGAAGAAG